AACUAGUGGGCUGAAAAUAUUCCCAAGGAGGGAAGGAAGAGCUCAGCUGGAAUUGCUGCGCUCUGGGACAGUCUGGGAAGCACUUAGAUGCGACUGGGCAGGCAUGCAGUCUGAGUGUGCUCUUCCCUGUGCUCUUCCAGGGAGCUCGAGGUCUUUCUCACCAGGGACAAUCUUCCCGAGCCCCUGAGGCACUGACAGACGACAGUGACAGCAUGGCCCAUUCCAUCUUCUGCACUGACAAUCCUGGCAGCAUCCUCUGAACUCUGACAUCCACGGAUAAACAGGAUCCCUUUGCAUUGCUUCGGGAAGUCUCAGGGAAUUGUGGGCGCUUGCAGGAACGUAUUGGUCAAAUGGACGAGGAAACCCAAACGGUCACAAGCCGCUAUCAGCAGAUGGAGGAUCUGAUAGAAGAAAUCAGAGGGUGAACAUUUCCUCCUCCUCCUCCUCCUCCUCUUGCAUUCCAGAUGCAAUCUGCUUCCAGGUCUGGGAGUUCAGAGGUUCCUGGGUGAAGAAAUCACCUGCCCUACCAUGUGUGGCUCUUGAGCAUCGUCCUGUCAGGGUUUUUCAUGCUCUACUGUGACUCCUAAGGCUGUGUGGGAGAUGCACAGCCAUGUUGGAAUAGAAGACUCCUUCUUCUCACCAUACCGCUUCCCUGAAUUCUGUUCUUUGCGUGCCUCUGCCCAGCCACUGCUUCUCACUGAAGGAAGGCAAAAUCCUGCCUUCCUUUCCCUUUGCCUCUGGAGGAUUUCCUAGGGAGGGAAAGAGCAAGGUCUUCCUUAGCCCACUGCCCCCUGCUCCAGCCUGGAGUGCUGGAAAUGGGAUUGGUGACUCUUGAGGCCUCUUUGUUCUUCUGACUGAGCCUUGUCUCUGCAGUUGCUGUGAAAACAUUGAGAAGUCCAGGGAAAAGCUGCAGCAAUGCAUGGGAAUCCCAGAGCCAGGAGCCUUGUGGCUGCGUCAAAGGAACACCGAGCAGCAGAAGGAAACGUCACCCCAGGUGGAAAAGGCCCAGCAGCAGGACAGGAUGGAGGUUUCCCAGGAGCAAGAGUUAUCAAGCAGGGCCCUGGAGCAGCUGCGCCAGCAAUCCUCUGGCCAAGGGCAACCACUGGCCCAGGUGCACAGAGAGAAGGAGCUGCUGGGCCAGGAGAAGGCUGCCUUUAAGGGACGACUGGCAGCUAUGGAGCAGCAGAGGCAAGAGCUUUGCAAGCAGCUGGCAGAGACCAGGUAAAGGCAGGGAGCAGAGCCUUUCAGAUGUUUUUACAUUCCACGGACAUAAAAUGGAAGUGUCUCAAAAGAAAAAAAAGUCACAAUAUGAAGGUUAUUUUUCUGACAUCUAAAGCCAACAAAGCUCUCGUCAGCCUUGGGCUCCUGUUUGUGCUGCCAAGCACAUUCCUGUGGGAAGUCAAAAGCAAGCCACCCAGCCCUGAAUUGAGUAGUAGUUAAAGCAUGCAGAGGUUGAGUGAAACCUCAUGUUUCUCUUAGGUUUGGUUCCUUAUGCUGGGCAUUGAACAUCCCUCGUUUGUUACCAAGUAGCUUGACAUGAUCUUGAUCUUCAGAACUGAAGCUCCAUCUUGAGCAUUCCAGGCUCUUACCUGGGGAUGUUGGGAGUGUUUUGUUCUAGAAGGGGAAGUCCUGUAUGUUUUCCCUU
rnacentral:lncRNA from 1 species